UUUUCCAACCCAUUCUCACUCCAAAGGCGUCAAAAACCGAAGCAUGGUCAAGCGCCCCUAGCGUCACUUUUAUGACGCCAAAUGUGCCUCUCGGCGUCGACUAUCGAAGCACUACGACCUUCAUUGCUUUCAGUGGGAAACUUUUGGCGUCAGAAUUCGACACGAGGACAUGAGAUGUUUAUCGCUAUGAAAUCACGUUCAAGAAGUCUCAUUCAGCACACAUCGCGCGAUACUUGCUAUCAUUUCCACAGUUUGGCUGAAAAGACGUAAAGGCAGUCAGCCCAGUGGUGUUUCUGGAGAGGGAUUCCUUCAGAAAUGGAGAAGACAGAAAGCUGCGGAGGCAGAUAUUUGCAGCAUGUUCGAGUGAGCAUGAUGACCACGAGUGUGUGUCGAACUUUUCAUGACCUGAUGACUGUGUUUCCCUAUCCUGAUCCUGGAGAACCCCAGCACUGCACAGUUUUGGUGUCUCUCUUAUCUGCCUUGGAGUCUUCACUGAU